GCGGUAAUACGUAGGGCGCAAGCGUUAUCCGGAAUUAUUGGGCGUAAAGAGCUCGUAGGCGGUUUGUCGCGUCUGCUGUGAAAUCCGGAGGCUCAACCUCCGGCCUGCAGUGGGUACGGGCAGACUAGAGUGCGGUAGGGGAGAUUGGAAUUCCUGGUGUAGCGGUGGAAUGCGCAGAUAUCAGGAGGAACACCGAUGGCGAAGGCAGAUCUCUGGGCCGUAACUGACGCUGAGGA
rnacentral:rRNA from 1 species